rnacentral:rRNA from 1 species
UAGGGAAUCUUCCGCAAUGGACGCAAGCCUGACGGAGCAACGCCGCGUGAGUGAAGAAGGAUUUCGGUUCGUAAAACUCUGUUGUUAGAGAAGAACAGCGCAUAGAGUAACUGUUAUGCGUGUGACGGUAUCUAACCAGAAAGCCACGGCUAACUACGUGCCAGCAGCCGCGGUAAUACGUAGGUGGCAAGCGUUGUCCGGAUUUAUUGGGCGUAAAGCGAGCGCAGGCGGUCAAUUAAGUCUGAUGUGAAAGCCCCCGGCUCAACCGGGGAGGGGCAUUGGAAACUGGUUGACUUGAGUGCAGAAGAGGAGAGUGGAAUUCCAUGUGUAGCGGUGAAAUGCGUAGAUAUAUGGAGGAACACCAGUGGCGAAGGCGACUCUCUGGUCUGUAACUGACGCUGAGGCUCGAAAGCGUGGGUAGCAAACAGG